UGCAGUCGAGCGAGAUUCUUAAGAAGAUACUUCGGUUGAUUCUUAGGAAGGACAGCGGCGAAAGGGAGAGUAACGAGUAGAUUACGUGCCCAAGGGUUCGGGAUAGCCAUGCGAAAGCGUGAGUAACACCGAAUAAUGUCUCCGGACCAAAAAUUUAUUGCCCUUGGAGCGGUCUGCUUACUAUUAGCUUGUUGGUGGGGUAACGGCCUACCAAGGCUAAGAUGGUUAGCGGGUGUGAGAGCAUGGCCCGUCUCACUGGGACUGAGAUACUGCCCAGACACCUACGGGUGGCUGCAGUCGAGAAUCUUCCGCAAUGGACGAAAGUCUGACGGAGCGACGCCGCGUGAUGGACGAAGGCCCUCGGGUUGUAAACAUCUGUCGUAGGGGAGGAAAUUUUGACCGAUCCUAGGAGGAAGCACAGGCUAAGUUCGUG
rnacentral:rRNA from 1 species